GAUGAAUGCUGGCGGCGUGCCUAACACAUGCAAGUCGAGCGGUAACAGGUCUUCGGAUGCUGACGAGUGGCGAACGGGUGAGUAAUACAUCGGAACGUGCCCGAUCGGGGGGGAUAACGGAGCGAAAGCUUUGCUAAUACCGCAUACGAUCUACGGAUGAAAGCAGGGGACCGCAAGGCCUUGCGCGGACGGAGCGGGCGAUGGCAGAUUAGGUAGUUGGUGGGAUAAAAGCUUACCAAGCCGACGAUCUGUAGCUGGUCUGAGAGGACGACCAGCCACACUGGGACUGAGACACGGCCCAGACUCCUACGGGAGGCAGCAGUGGGGAAUUUUGGACAAUGGGCGAAAGCCUGAUCCAGCCAUGCCGCGUGCAGGAUGAAGGCCUUCGGGUUGUAAACUGCUUUUGUACGGAACGAAAAGACUCUUUCUAAUAAAGAGGGUCCAUGACGGUACCGUAAGAAUAAGCACCGGCUAACUACGUGCCAGCAGCCGCGGUAA
rnacentral:rRNA from 1 species